AAGCACAAGCCGAAAAUGGUGAAGCCGCGAAUGGCUCAUUACAACAGCCUUCGUUUAUUUGAUCUUGAAUUCCUACUUGGAUAACUGUGGUAAUUCUAGAGCUAAUACACGCACACAAGCUUCAGCCUUUUGGCAGGAGCGCAUUUAUUAGUACAAAACCAAUCGGGCUUUGCCCGUUGUCUGGUGAAUCUGAAUAACUGAGCCGAUCGCAUGGUCCUUGCACCGGCGACGUAUCAUUCAAGUGUCUGCCCUAUCAACUUUCGAUGGUAGUUUAUGUGACUACCAUGGUUGUAACGGGUAACGGAGAAUUAGGGUUCGACUCCGGAGAAGCAGCCUGAGAAACGGCUACUACAUCCAAGGAAGGCAGCAGGCGCGCAAAUUACCCAAUCUCAGCACAAGGAGGUAGUGACGAGAAAUAACGAGGCGAUGCCCUUCUGGGGCUCGCUAUCGGAAUGAGAACAAUUUAAAACCUUUAACGAGGAUCUAGCGGAGGGCAAGUCUGGUGCCAGCAGCCGCGGUAAUUCCAGCUCCGCUAGUGUAUACCACGAGUACUGCGGUUAAAAAGCUCGUAGUUGGAUCUGCGGCAACGGAUGCGGGUCCACCUUAUGGGUGCGUACUUGUAUCCGUGCCUCAUUUGUCAGUAUUUCCCUGCGUUUCCUUUACUGGGUGCGUAGGGAGACUGGCGCUUUUACCUUGAGAAAAUUGGAGUGCUCAGAACAGGCUCUUGCCUGAACAGUUGUGCAUGGAAUAAUGGAAUAGGAUCUUGGUCCUAUUUUGUUGGUUUUAGGGAUUGAGAUAAUGAUUAAGAGGGACAGACGGGGGCAUUCGUAUUGCGACGUUAGAGGUGAAAUUCUUGGAUCGUCGCAAGACGGACAACUGCGAAAGCAUUUGCCAAGAAUGUUUUCAUUAAUCAAGAACGAAAGUUAGAGGUUCGAAGGCGAUCAGAUACCGCCCUAGUUCUAACCGUAAACGAUGCCAACUAGCGAUCCGUCGAUGUUGUUUUAUGACACGACGGGCAGCUUCCCGGAAACGAAAGUCUUCCGGUUCCGUGGGAAGUAUGGUUGCAAAGCUGAAACUUAAAGGAAUUGACGGAAGGGCACCACCAGGAGUGGAGCCUGCGGCUUAAUUUGACUCAACACGGGAAAACUCACCAGGUCAGGAGAUAUUCAGGAUUGACAGGUUGAUCGCCCUUUCAUAAUAGUAUCACGGGUGGUGCAUGGCCGUUCGUAGUUGGUGGAGUGAUCUGUCUGGUUUAUUCCGAUAACGAACGAGACUCUAGCCUGCUAAAUAGCGAGCGGGUAAUUUCGCCCGUAGCGCUUCUUAGAGGGAUAAGCGGCGUCUAGCCGCAUGAAAUUGAGCAAUAACAGGUCUGUGAUGCCCUCAGAUGUCCUGGGCUGCACGCGCGCUACACUGAAGGAAUCAGAGUGCGCAUUUCCUAGCCAGAAAUGGCCGGGUAACCAUUUGAAAAUCCUUCGUGAUUGGGAUAGGGAAUUGCAAUUAUUUCCCUUGAACGAGGAAUUCCCAGUAAGUGCGAGUCAUCAGCUCGCGUUGAUUACGUCCCUGCCCUUUGUACACACCGCCCGUCGCUGCCCGGAACUGAGCCAGUUCGAGAAGAACAGGGACUGCCGGUUCGGGGCCGUUAGGUCCCUUACUGUGCGGAAACUGUUUUGAUCGCAUUGGCUUGAACCGGG
rnacentral:rRNA from 1 species